UACGUAGGGACCGAGCGUUGUCCGGAUUCAUUGGGCGUCAAGAGCUCGUAGGCGGCCACUCACGUCGAAUGUGAAACCUCGAGGCUCAACCUCGAGCCUGCAUUCGAUACUGGGCGGCUAGAGUCUGGUAGGGGGAUCUGGAAUUCCUGGUGUAGCGGUGGAAUGCGCAGAUAUCAGGAGGAACACCGGUGGCGAAGGCGGGAUCCUGGGCCAGUACUGACGCUGAGGAGCGAAAGCCAGGGGAGCAAACGGG
rnacentral:rRNA from 1 species